rnacentral:rRNA from 1 species
UACGGGGGGAGCAAGCGUUGUUCGGAUUUACUGGGCGUAAAGGGCGCGUAGGCGGUCAGCACAAGUCAGUUGUGAAAUCUCCGGGCUUAACUCGGAAAGGUCAACUGAUACUGUCGGGCUAGAGUGCGGAAGGGGCAACUGGAAUUCCCGGUGUAGAGGUGAAAUUCGUAGAUAUCGGGAGGAACACCAGUGGCGAAGGCGGCGACCUGGGCCAAUAUUGACGCUGAGGUGCGAAAGCGUGGGGAGCAAACAGG